AGUGAACGCUGGCGGUAGGCCUAACACAUGCAAGUCGAACGGCAGCACAGUAAGAGCUUGCUCUUACGGGUGGCGAGUGGCGGACGGGUGAGGAAUACAUCGGAAUCUACUUUUUCGUGGGGGAUAACGUAGGGAAACUUACGCUAAUACCGCAUACGACCUACGGGUGAAAGCAGGGGAUCUUCGGACCUUGCGCGAUUGAAUGAGCCGAUGUCGGAUUAGCUAGUUGGCGGGGUAAAGGUCCACCAAGGCGACGAUCCGUAGCUGGUCUGAGAGGAUGAUCAGCCACACUGGAACUGAGACACGGUCCAGACUCCUACGGGAGGCAGCAGUGGGGAAUAUUGGACAAUGGGCGCAAGCCUGAUCCAGCCAUACCGCGUGGGUGAAGAAGGCCUUCGGGUUGUAAAGCCCUUUUGUUGGGAAAGAAAAGCAGCAGGUUAAUACCCCGCUGUUCUGACGGUACCAAAAGAAUAAGCACCGGCUAACUUCGUG
rnacentral:rRNA from 1 species